ACGCUCGACACCUACUGGAGGCAGCAGUGAGGGAUAUUGGUCAAUGGGGAAACCCUGAACCAGCAACGCCGCGUGAGGGAUGACGGUCUUCGGAUUGUAAACCUCUGUCCUCUGUGAAGAUAAUGACGGUAGCAGAGGAGGAAGCUCCGGCUAACUACGUGUCAGCAGCCGCGGUAAUCUGAGCGGGCUGGCAAGGC
rnacentral:rRNA from 1 species